rnacentral:rRNA from 1 species
GACGAACGCUGGCGGCGUGCCUAAUACAUGCAAGUCGAACGCUUCUUUCCCCCCGAGUGCUUGCACUCAAUUGGAAAGAGGAGUGGCGGACGGGUGAGUAACACGUGGGUAACCUACCCAUCAGAGGGGGAUAACACUUGGAACCAGGUGCUAAUACCGCAUAACAGUUUAUGCCGCAUGGCAUAAGAGUGAAAGGCGCUUUCGGGUGUCGUUGAUGGAUGGACCCGCGGUGCAUUAGCUAGUUGGUGAGGUAACGGCUCACCAAGGCCACGAUGCAUAGCCGACCUGAGAGGGUGAUCGGCCACCCUGGGACUGAGACACGGCCCAGACUCCUACGGGAGGCAGCAGUAGGGAAUCUUCGGCAAUGGACGAAAGUCUGACCGAGCAACGCCGCGUGAGUGAAGAAGGUUUUCGGAUCGUAAAACUCUGUUGUUAGAGAAGAACAAGGGCGUUAGUAACUGAACGUCCCCUGACGGUAUCUAACCAGAAAGCCACGGCUAACUACGUG